AUAAAAACAUGGCAAACAAAUGCAAAAGAGCAGCAGUAAUAAAUGCAACCUUUUCAGUUCAUAAUGCAAUAAAAUAAUAAUUAGUAAGGGUACAUGGAGAGCCAAAUCAAAAAUUAAUUGGAAAUUAAAUAAUAUGAUUCUCCAAAAUCAGUUAAAGAACAAAUCAUAGAAACAAGGAAUAAUUUCUUUUUUUUUUUUUUUUUUUUUUUUUUUUUUUUUUUUUGGUUUGUUUUUUAAUUGGUACUUUCCAUUCUCCUUCCCUUUCUCCCCAUUUCCCAGAGCUGCCAGUCUAUUACUUGUCAUCAGGAUAUGACAGUUCAAUAGAUAGUCUUUUAGUGAAGGCUAUCCCUACCUCAAGCAUAAUGCUAUGUGAAGGCAGAGGGAAGAGAGGAAGGCACAAUUCCUCCCCUUCAGAGGCUGAGCCCAGCUGGAAAGAUAGGAUUCAGAUGCAUCUAUGAAACAACAGCCCAGCUGGCAGGGUUAUUCUCUAGUGGAACACAUUAGGGAUCUGUCCUUGGCCCUCUCCUGCUCAGCUGUUUGUUUGGUUUUUUAAUCAGUGACUUGGGGAAAACUUCCUUCUUCAAUUUUUUUUUAGAAUGGGUCAUAGGGAUCAGAGAUACAGAGUUGGAGGAGACCAAGGAGGCCACCUGAUCUCAACCUUUCAUUUUACAGAUGAGGAAAAUGAAGUCAAAGAAAGUUGUGACUUACCAGUGAUCAUCUAAAGAGUUUCAAAGGAGGGAUUUGAACUCAGGUCUUCUGACUCCAGUUGGGCUCUCCAGUCAGCGUGGUUACUCCCUUCACUGGUACAGAUCCCAACCCCAAGUUAUAGAACUUAGAUCUUCAAAGGAUGCCUUGACCAAGAAAUUCAUCUGCCAUGCAGCCACACUAGGAAUGAGACUCCCUGAGAUUAACCAAGCUAGCCCUCUAAUAAUAGACCAACAAGAAUAAUAAUAAUGGUAAAAAUAAUAGUAGUGAUAAUAAUAAUAAUAACAGGGAGGUCAUAUUGCAUAGUAGAAAACUGACUUCCCAGGAUCAGGAAGAUUUGAGUUCAAGUUCUCUCUCUGACACAUUAACUUUGUGAUUCCAGGUAAAUAUCUUAACUUCUGACUAGAGGUUCCCUGAGACUAUAAAUUGAAAAGAAGUGUUGUUACCAACCUCUUCCUAGAGUUGAGGAAACAGUGACCUGUCUGGAGCAACCCAGCUAGUAAGUAUCCAAGACUAGAUUUGAACUCAGGUCUAUCCCAACUCCAGGUCCAGGACUCUAUCCACAAUACCAUCAGUUGCCUCCAUUUGAUUUUCUUAUUUUAUAAUUUAUCCUCCAAGCCAUUCCAUCUUUAUAAGGAGUCGGAAGGGUUCUCGUUCUGCU
rnacentral:lncRNA from 1 species